UGGGGAAUAUUGCACAAUGGGCGGAAGCCUGAUGCAGCGACGCCGCGUGAGGGACGACGGCCUUCGGGUUGUAAACCUCUUUCAGUGGGGAAGAAGUCUCGCCUUGUUGGGGUGGGGUGACGGUACCUGUAGAAGAAGCGCCGGCUAACUACGUGCCAGCAGCCGCGGUAAUACGUAGGGCGCGAGCGUUGUCCGGAAUUAUUGGGCGUAAAGAGCUCGUAGGCGGUUUGUCGCGUCUGUCGUGAAAUCCCAUGGCUUAACUGUGGGCGUGCGGUGGGUACGGGCAGACUGGAGUGCGGUAGGGGAGACUGGAAUUCCUGGUGUAGCGGUAAAAUGCGCAGAUAUCAGGAGGAACACCGGUGGCGAAGGCGGGUCUCUGGGCCGUUACUGACGCUGAGGAGCGAAAGCAUGGGGAGCGAACAGG
rnacentral:rRNA from 1 species